rnacentral:rRNA from 1 species
AUCGCAGGCUGCAACCCGCCUGCGUGAAGUUGGAAAUCGCUAGUAAUCGCGGAUCAGCAUGCCGCGGUGAAUACGUUCCCGGGCCUUGUACACACCGCCCGUCACACCAUGAGAGUCGGGAACACCCGAAGUCCGUAGCCUAACCGCGAAGGGGGGCGCGGCCGAAGGUGGGUUCGAUAAUUGGGGUGAAGUCGUAACAAGGUAGC